UUGCAGGCUGCAACCCGCCUGCAUGAAGUCGGAAUUGCUAGUAAUCGCGGAUCAGCAUGCCGCGGUGAAUACGUUCCCGGGCCUUGUACACACCGCCCGUCACACCAUGGGAGCCGGUAAUACCCGAAGUCAGUAGUCCAACCUCGUGAGGACGCUGCCGAAGGUAGGAUUGGCGACUGGGGUGAAGUCGUAACAAGGUAUC
rnacentral:rRNA from 1 species